UAAGGAAGGCAGCAGGCGCGCAAAUUACCCACUCCCGGCACGGGGAGGUAGUGACGAAAAAUAACGAUACGGGACUCAUCCGAGGCCCCGUAAUCGGAAUGAGUACACUUUAAAUCCUUUAACGAGGAUCAAUUGGAGGGCAAGUCUGGUGCCAGCAGCCGCGGUAAUUCCAGCUCCAAUAGCGUAUAUUAAAGUUGUUGCGGUUAAAAAGCUCGUAGUCGAAUUUGUGUCGUGCGCCGCCGGUUCAUCGCUCGCGGUGUCAACUGGCGUGUCGCAGGACGUCCUGCCGGUGGACUUAGCCUCCGUGGUCGUGCGUUCGACAUGUGGCGGCCUCGCGUAUUCACUCCACGUACGUUCGCGUGCGUGGGUGCGCUUGGCACGUCUCGUCGUGACGUCGCGGUCUCGCGGGGCGGUCCAACUUUGAAAAGAUCCCACCGCGGUGCUCUUCGCUGAGUGUCGAGGUGGGCCGGCACGUUUACUUUGAACAAAUUAGAGUGCUUAAAGCAGGCUAAAAGUUUGCCUGAAUAUUGUGUGCAUGGAAUAAUAAAAUAGGACCUCGGUUCUAUUUUGUUGGCUUUCGGAACUCCGAGGUAAUGAUUAAUAGGAACGAAUGGGGGCAUUCGUAUUGCGACGUUAGAGGUGAAAUUCUUGGAUCGUCGCAAGACGGACCUAAGCGAAAGCAUUUGCCAAAAACGCUUUCAUUGAUCAAGAACGAAAGUUAGAGGUUCGAAGGCGAUCAGAUACCGCCCUAGUUCUAACCAUAAACGAUGCCAGCUAGCGAUCCGUCGACGUUCCUCCGAUGACACGACGGGCAGCUUCCGGGAAACCAAAGCUUUUGGGGUUCCGGGGGAAGU
rnacentral:rRNA from 2 species